rnacentral:misc_RNA from 1 species
UAUGAAGAACGUAGUGAAAUGCGAUAACUAGUGUGAAUUGCAGAAUUCCGUGAAUCAUCGAGUCUUUGAACGCACAUUGCGCCCCCUGGUAUUCCGGGGGGCAUGCCUGUCCGAGCGUCAUUGCUGCCCAUCAAGCACGGCUUGUGUGUUGGGUCGUCGUCCCCUCUCCGGGGGGGACGGGCCCCAAAGGCAGCGGCGGCACCGCGUCCGAUCCUCGAGCGUAUGGGGCUUUGUCACCCGCUCUGUAGGCCCGGCCGGCGCUUGCCGAACGCAAAUCAAUCUUUUUCCAGGUUGACCUCGGAUCAGGUAGGGAUACCCGCUGAACUUAAGCAUAUCAAUAAGCGGAGGA